AGGGGAAUAGGUGAAAACACAAAUUGGUCAAAGGAGGACUUUUACCAAAUUAAUAUCAUUCAUUCAUUUGGGGAGAUGGAAUAUACAUUCCAUCAAUCCCCUAAAUCCAAUGAUAUUAAUUUGACAAAGUAAAAUCAACCUUGACCAAGGCCCAACAACAAUAAUCAAACUCAAACAAGUCAUCACAAUUGGUCAACAAAUUUAUUUGGCAUUUAUUCAAAUUAAAAAUACUAAAAUAAGGCAUUUAAAUU
rnacentral:lncRNA from 1 species